rnacentral:rRNA from 1 species
GAUGAACGCUGGCGGCGUGCCUAAUACAUGCAAGUCGAGCGAACAGACGAGGAGCUUGCUCCUCUGACGUUAGCGGCGGACGGGUGAGUAACACGUGGAUAACCUACCUAUAAGACUGGGAUAACUUCGGGAAACCGGAGCUAAUACCGGAUAAUAUAUUGAACCGCAUGGUUCAAUAGUGAAAGACGGUUUUGCUGUCACUUAUAGAUGGAUCCGCGCCGCAUUAGCUAGUUGGUAAGGUAACGGCUUACCAAGGCAACGAUGCGUAGCCGACCUGAGAGGGUGAUCCGCCACACUGGAACUGAGACAAGGUCCAGACUCCUACGGGAGGCAGCAGUAGGGAAUCUUCCGCAAUGGGCGAAAGCCUUACGGAGCAACGCCGCGUGAGUGAUGAAGGUUUUCGGAUCGUAAAACUCUGUUAUUAUGGAAGAACAAAUGUGUAAGUAACUAUGCACGUCUUGACGGUACCUAAUCAGAAAGCCACGGCUAACUACGUG